CCUACGGGUGGCAGCAGUGAGGAAUAUUGGUCAAUGGACGAGAGUCUGAACCAGCCAAGUAGCGUGAAGGAUGACUGCCCUAUGGGUUGUAAACUUCUUUUAUAUGGGAAUAAAACGUUCCACGUGUGGGAUUUUGUAUGUACCAUAUGAAUAAGGAUCGGCUAACUCCGUGCCAGCAGCCGCGGUAAUACGGAGGAUCCGAGCGUUAUCCGGAUUUAUUGGGUUUAAAGGGGGCGUAGGUGGAUUGUUAAGUCAGUUGUGAAAGUUUGCGGCGCAACCGUAAAAGUGCAGUUGAAACUGGCAGUCUUGAGUACAGUAGAGGUGGGCGGAAUUCGUGGUGUAGCGGUGAAAUGCUUAGAUAUCACGAAGAACUCCGAUUGCGAAGGCAGUUCACUGGACUGCAACUGACACUGAGGCUCGAAAGUGUGGGUAUCAAACAGGAUUAGAUACCCGAGUAGUC
rnacentral:rRNA from 1 species